rnacentral:rRNA from 1 species
CACGUAGGGGGCUAGCGUUGUCCGGAAUUAUUGGGCGUAAAGAGCUCGUAGGCGGUUUGUUGCGUCGGCUGUGAAAUCCCGAGGCUCAACCUCGGGUCUGCAGUCGAUACGAGCAAACUAGAGUGUUGCAGGGGAGACUGGAAUUCCUGGUGUAGCGGUGAAAUGCGCAGAUAUCAGGAGGAACACCGGUGGCGAAGGCGGGUCUCUGGGCAACAACUGACGCUGAGGAGCGAAAGCGUGGGGAGCGAACAGG